CGUAGGGUGCGAGCGUUGUCCGGAAUUACUGGGCGUAAAGAGCUUGUAGGCGGUCUGUCGCGUCAUCUGUGAAAACUUGGGGCUCAACCUUAAGCUUGCAGGCGAUACGGGCAGACUAGAGUACUUCAGGGGAGACUGGAAUUCCUGGUGUAGCGGUGAAAUGCGCAGAUAUCAGGAGGAACACCGGUGGCGAAGGCGGGUCUCUGGGAAGUAACUGACGCUGAGAAGCGAAAGCGUGGGUAGCGAACAGGAUUAGAUACCCUGGUAGUCCACGCCGUAAACGGUGGGUACUAGGUGUGGGUUUCCUUCCACGGGAUCCGUGCCGUAGCUAACGCAUUAAGUACCCCGCCUGGGGAGUACGGCCGCAAGGCUAAAACUCAAAGGAAUUGACGGGGGCCCGCACAAGCGGCGGAGCAUGUGGAUUAAUUCGAUGCAACGCGAAGAACCUUACCUGGGUUUGACAUACACCGGAAACCUGCAGAGAUGUAGGCCCCCUUGUGGUCGGUGUACAGGUGGUGCAUGGCUGUCGUCAGCUCGUGUCGUGAGAUGUUGGGUUAAGUCCCGCAACGAGCGCAACCCUUAUCUUAUGUUGCCAGCGCGUAAUGGCGGGGACUCGUGAGAGACUGCCGGGGUCAACUCGGAGGAAGGUGGGGACGACGUCAAGUCAUCAUGCCCCUUAUGUCCAGGGCUUCACACAUGCUACAAUGGCCGGUACAGAGGGCUGCGAUACCGUGAGGUGGAGCGAAUCCCUUAAAGCCGGUCUCAGUUCGGAUCGGGGUCUGCAACUCGACCCCGUGAAGUUGGAGUCGCUAGUAAUCGCAGAUCAGCAACGCUGCGGUGAAUACGUUCCCGGGCCUUGUACACACCGCCCGUCACGUCAUGAAAGUCGGUAACACCCGAAGCCGGUGGCCUAACCCUUGUGGAGGGAGC
rnacentral:rRNA from 1 species